CAAAGGAGAGGAUGUGCGAAGCUAAGCAAGGACCAGCUGCAUCGUGCAAAGGUGCCACGGGGGAGUGGUGCGGAGUCAGAAUGGACACGUGGAGUCCCUGAGGACAGGGGAUCUAUGAAUGCACACCAAGUAGAAGUUCCAGGUGAAGCGCCAUACACAUUUGGGAGGCUCCUGAUGUGGAGGACACAGUGGCCGGGAUCACCCUUCUGAAACGUCAGCAUGGCCUCAGGAACCACGUCCUGACUGUCUGGGAGUCUCUCACUCUUAUUCCCAGGGGGACCAAGAUGGGGAAACCAAGGGAAGAGAAGACCAGGUGAAGACAUGAGAAAGACAAGCAAGAGAUAAGGAUCAGCCACCACUCCUUUUACUCCUAAGGAAAUGGAGGCCCACGAAAGAUGAGAGCUACAUGACUAAUGAGUGGUAGAGCAUGGAUUCUGGCCCGGGUCUGCGGGGCUCCCAGCCCAUGCCAGUGUGAACAGAAGGAAUUCCUCUGGAAAGGCAAUUGCAUAUCAGUCCCAGCUCUUCCUGGGGCAGAAAGCUGACACCUGCACUUAGAGAAGGAAGCCAUCCUGUGGGCAGAGGGCCGAGCAUUUCCCCUAAAGCCAUCUCCCUCUUCUUUCAAGCCAGGCUUAAAUAUCCAAACCGCAAAGGAAGAUGAAAGAAGCUUGUUGAUGAAGUCCUCCACCCUGGGAAGAGGAAGAUAAAAAAAAGAGAAAGAAAG
rnacentral:lncRNA from 1 species